UACGUAGGGUGCAAGCGUUAAUCGGAAUUACUGGGCGUAAAGCGUGCGCAGGCGGUUUUGUAAAGUCUGUCGUGAAAUCCCCGGGCUCAACCUGGGAAUUGCGAUGGAGACUGCAAGGCUAGAAUCUGGCAGAGGGGGGUAGAAUUCCACGUGUAGCAGUGAAAUGCGUAGAGAUGUGGAGGAACACCGAUGGCGAAGGCAGCCCCCCUGGGAUCAAGAUUGACGCUCAUGCACGAAAGCGUGGG
rnacentral:rRNA from 1 species